UACGUAGGGUGCAAGCGUUGUCCGGAAUUACUGGGCGUAAAGAGCUCGUAGGUGGUUUGUCGCGUUGUUCGUGAAAACUCACAGCUUAACUGUGGGCGUGCGGGCGAUACGGGCAGACUGGAGUACUGCAGGGGAGACUGGAAUUCCUGGUGUAGCGGUGGAAUGCGCAGAUAUCAGGAGGAACACCGGUGGUGUAAACGGCUUUCUGGACCAUAACUGACACUGAGGCACGAAAGCGUGGGUAGCAAACAGG
rnacentral:rRNA from 1 species